AAGGUCGAUAAAGACAUGAUCAGAACUUUGCUCUUUUAGUUUUGUGAAUUUUUUUUUUUUUCUUUCUGUGGUGUUGUGGGAGAGAAUUUACAAAAGUCACAUUUGCACUUGUCAGUUUGACCUGGUGCAGUAGCAGUGCAGGAGGGACUGGUUUAUUAAGAGAAGCAGAGCCUCGGGUGGUCAGUCAGACUCACAGGAUGCAGAGAGCACUGAGUCUGGUUUCGCUGCUGGUCCUGGGGUCAGCCUGGACCCUCCAGGGGGCCCAUAUACUCCGGGAAACUCUCACCCUCACACAGGAGGACUUUGAUCUGGACCGGUUCAUGGGGAAGUGGUAUGAGGUGGCAGUGGCUUCCACCUGUCCUCACUACAUGCAGCGCAAGAGGGGAAACCCCGUUAUUGUUGCACUGACUCUGCAACAUGAUGUUUCUGACGGCAACUUCACAAUGAUGGCCACUACUUUCAGGAAUGGCUCAUGUCAGCAGACAUCUAGAAAUUAUGGACUAACAAACACUCCAGGACGAUUCUUCUACCACGUUGCCAAGUUCGGAGCAGAUGUUGAUUCCUAUGUGGUUCACACCAACUAUGAUGAGUACGCAAUGAUCCUUCAGCUGAGCACAGAGAAACAAUCAGGAAACACAACCACUAUAGUCAAGCUGUACGGUCGAACUAUGGAUGUGAGUCCUGCUGUGUCGGACAACUUCAAAACACUGGUGAGACGACAUGGAAUGAGUGAUGCUGCCAUCAUCAUGAAUCAGAACAAAGGUGGGUGUGUUCCAGGUGAGCCGGUGACAGACCACGCCACUCCACAACGGGGACUGCCUCAGAGGACAAAGAGAAAUGUGGCGCCACCUGUGGACUCUGGAUAUCUGACCACGUGUCACCACUUCAUCCACAAUUGCAGAGUCUUUGUACAAUGAAGAAGUUCUUUGAGACCUGGACUGAGGCCUCCAGAAUUCAAACACAGACAUGAAGACAUUUCCAGAAGGUCCACUUCAGCCGCUGUUGUCUCCUCCUCCUGCAGAGACAAGAAGACAGAUUAAUUACAGAAACUCAUCAGUAAAUGAAAAUAUUGUUUAUAUGUCCUGCUAUACUGUAACAUUUUUUUUUGGACACCUUACUAUGACAUGUGUCUUAAGACAAAGAAACUACCUUAAAGUAGCCAUCUUACCUUUGUUUUCCACAGACACACAUUCAUACCUACAGAGUGUUUGUGGGUUACAUUUUCAUUUUGGUAUUUUGCUAUUUCAAACGUGCAAUAUUAGUACUCAAAUCCAAUUUGUUACUGUGUAAUCCUGUUUGUCCUGUAUUGUUAUAUACUAUCUUGUUUAUAUAAUACUUUCUAUUUUUGCUGUUGCAGCACUUAAUUUCCCUGUCGUGGAACUGAUAAAGUAUUAUCUUACUCAAAUAAAUACUUCUGAACACUGA